rnacentral:rRNA from 1 species
AGUCGAGGGGUAUGGUUCUUCGGAACCAGAGACCGGCGCACGGGUGCGUAACGCGUAUGCAAUCUGCCUUUCACAGAGGGAUAGCCCAGAGAAAUUUGGAUUAAUACCUCAUAGUAUAGCGACAUCGCAUGAUGAUGCUAUUAAAGUCACAACGGUGAAAGAUGAGCAUGCGUCCCAUUAGCUAGUUGGUAAGGUAACGGCUUACCAAGGCAACGAUGGGUAGGGGUCCUGAGAGGGAGAUCCCCCACACUGGUACUGAGACACGGACCAGACUCCUACGGGAGGCAGCAGUGAGGAAUAUUGGUCAAUGGGCGCAAGCCUGAACCAGCCAUGCCGCGUGCAGGAUGACGGUCCUAUGGAUUGUAAACUGCUUUUGCACAGGAAGAAACACUGAUUCGUGAAUCAGCUUGACGGUACUGUGAGAAUAAGGAUCGGCUAACUCCGUGCCAGCAGCCGCGGUAAUACGGAGGAUCCAAGCGUUAUCCGGAAUCAUUGGGUUUAAAGGGUCCGUAGGCGGUCUGGUAAGUCAGUGGUGAAAGCCCAUCGCUCAACGGUGGAACGGCCAUUGAUACUGCUGGACUUGAAUUAUUAGGAAGUAACUAGAAUAUGUAGUGUAGCGGUGAAAUGCUUAGAGAUUACAUGGAAUACCAAUUGCGAAGGCAGGUUACUACUAAUGGAUUGACGCUGAUGGACGAAAGCGUGGGUAGCGAACAGGAUUAGAUACCCUGGUAGUCCACGCCGUAAACGAUGGAUACUAGCUGUUGGAAGCAAUUUCAGUGGCUAAGCGAAAGUGAUAAGUAUCCCACCUGGGGA